rnacentral:misc_RNA from 1 species
GAGAAGGCUUCUUGAAUGGAUAAUGGAGAAUUGGUGAUGCCAAGAUGCCAAGGUUAAAAUGUGCUGGAUGGUUAUACAAUCUUGUCUUGCAAAAAUCUUUUGUAGUACUGAUCCCUGUUUAUUCACAUCUGUACUGCCUUGCAUCUGGUUUGGGAUGAGGAACGGGGAUGAUCACUUGCCUUGGUUCUUUUCAAGCCCCUUGAUACAAUAGGCUUCAUCUUUGUUCUUUAUCUUGUGAUGAAAUGUCAGAUGAAAUCUGUUCUCCCGAGUUGCAAGGCAGUACAGAUGUGAAUAAACAG